rnacentral:rRNA from 1 species
UACAGAGGUCUCAAGCGUUGUUCGGAUUCAUUGGGCGUAAAGGGUGUGUAGGUGGCGCGCUAAGUCGGGUGUGAAAUUUCGGAGCUUAACUCCGAAACUGCAUUCGAUACUGGCGUGCUUGAGGACUGGAGAGGAGACUGGAAUUCAUGGUGUAGCAGUGAAAUGUGUAGAGAUCAUGAGGAAGACCAGUGGCGAAGGCGGGUCUCUGGACAGUUCCUGACACUGAGACACGAAGGCCAGGGGAGCAAACGGG